ACAGAUUUUGACCUGUCACAGCAGGAGGUCUCCCGUCACAGACUAGAUGUUCUAAAGCCUGAAGCAAACAGAGCCAUGAGGAGGAGCAGAAGUCUAGUUCUCUCUCAGAACACUUGAAUUACAAUAUGCUGAAAACUAAGUGGUGCCGAGACGUCACCUCGACCUCCAUCGACCCUCCAACAGACUCACUGAGUGAUUUCUGAAGGACACUUCUCCACACGUGACCUCUGACCUCUGUCUCUGCACGCCGUAACAACCAGGUCAAGAUGGAGUCGUUCUUUUCUCCUGACAGCCUGAUGUUACCUUCAUUUAAUAAAUACAUAAAUAAAUAAAA